rnacentral:rRNA from 1 species
AAUGAACGCUGGCGGCGUGGUUAAGACAUGCAAGUCGAACGGUUUUUAGUGAAGGGCAACCGGAUCUAAAAGCAGUGGCGAACGGGUGCGUAACACGUGAACAAUCUACCUCCAAGUGGG